UACAGAGGGUGCGAGCGUUGUCCGGAAUCACUGGGCGUAAAGGGCGCGUAGGCGGCUUGAUAAGCGUGCGGUGAAAGCCCGGGGCUCAACCCCGGGUCGGCCGUGCGAACUGUCGAGCUGGAGCACUGUAGAGGCAGGUGGAAUUCCGGGUGUAGCGGUGGAAUGCGUAGAGAUCCGGAAGAACACCGGUGGCGAAGGCGGCCUGCUGGGCAGUGGCUGACGCUGAGGAGCGAAAGCGUGGGGAGCGAACAGG
rnacentral:rRNA from 1 species